AGCGAACGCUGGCGGCAGGCCUAACACAUGCAAGUCGAACGAACCUUUCGGGGUUAGUGGCGGACGGGUGAGUAACACGUGGGAACGUGCCUUUAGGUUCGGAAUAACUCAGGGAAACUUGUGCUAAUACCGAAUGUGCCCUUCGGGGGAAAGAUUAAUCGCCUUUAGAGCGGCCCGCGUCUGAUUAGCUAGUUGGUUAAGGUAAUGGCUCACCAAGGCGACGAUCAGUAGCUGGUCUGAGAGGAUGAUCAGCCACAUUGGGACUGAGACACGGCCCAAACUCCUACGGGAGGCAGCAGUGGGGAAUCUUGCGCAAUGGGCGAAAGCCUGACGCAGCCAUGCCGCGUGAAUGAUGAAGGUCUUAGGAUUGUAAAAUUCUUUCACCGGGGACGAUAAUGACGGUACCCGGAGAAGAAGCCCCGGCUAACUUCGUG
rnacentral:rRNA from 1 species